rnacentral:tRNA from 1 species
GCGUCGGCUGGGCAUUGGCGAGCCCAAGUGGCUGUAACCCACCCGCCUUCGGGCAUUGGCGGUUCAACUCCGUCCCGACGCA